UACGGGGGGGGGCAAGCGUUGUUCGGAAUUACUGGGCGUAAAGGGCUCGUAGGCGGCCAACUAAGUCAGACGUGAAAUCCCUCGGCUUAACCGGGGAACUGCAUCUGAUACUGGAUGGCUUGAGUUCGGGAGAGGGAUGCGGAAUUCCAGGUGUAGCGGUGAAAUGCGUAGAUAUCUGGAGGAACACCGGUGGCGAAGGCGGCCCCCUGGUUGGAUACUGACGCUGAGACGCGAAAGCCAGGGGAGCAAACGGG
rnacentral:rRNA from 1 species